GCCGAAGUGGCGGAAUCGGCAGACGCGCUACGUUCAGGGCGUAGUAGGUUUUACACCUGUGGGGGUUCAAAUCCCCCCUUCGGCACCA
rnacentral:tRNA from 1 species